UGGUACCCAAAACCAGGUCUGAGGCACAGUCAGUGAAUACCUGUUUAAUGAAUGCAUGCAUAAAUGAAUGAAUGGAUGAUCCAGCUCUUCCUGGAGCAGGCACGACUUCCACAGAAACAGAGCAAACGCUAGCCGUAAGCAGAAAGAACGUUAUAGCUCCAGCGCUGAAUGAGACAUCUUUGAUUCUGUGGUGAUGCGGACUUUGUGCCUCUCUGUGAGGAAUCACUUUGUUCCAAUGACGCAAUUUUCCUCACACUCCGGAAGUGUCCUGCACUGCCAGAAUCGCCCAGCUUCCCGGCACACCUAUCAACCAGUCGUUCCCAGCACUGCCCAGUAUGCAGCCUCCAGGCAGAGGGCCUGGAUGUCUUGGCAGCCCACCCCAAAGCCCAAACUCCUGCCCGCAUGCUGGGAAGGUGAGCCCUUGCCUGGAGAGCCCAGCAGGGGAAAUAGAAGGAGGGAAGGAGGCCUGCUCCUUCCCCGGAGCUCUGCUCUGCGGCUGCAGGAAGACCCGCAGAGGCCCUGGGCAGCAGAACUGUGGACAGCAAGGCUGGAGUUGUGAAACCCAACCACUCAGCUGGAUUCCAGAAGCUCAGGUGGUGGUGACUAAACCUGGCCUUACUUAAAAUGCAUGACUUUAUUGUCUUUCAAUGUAUUUUCAGUAAACUUCAUCCUCUCCAUUACUAUUUUCUUUUCUUCGGAAACAAGCAACAGAUCUUUGUAAAAAAAAUACGUGAUGCCACGCACUUAGGAAUCACCCUCAUGUGGAGAUGAGAUUUCUUUUUUAUUUUUUUUUUCUGAGAGUCUCACUCUGUUGCCCAGGCUGGAGUGCAGUGACGUGAUCUCGUCUCACUGCAACCUCUGCCUCCCAGGCUCAAGCGAUUCUCAUGCCUCGGCCUCCUGAGUAGCUGGGAUUACGGGCAUGUACCACCGUGCCCAGCUAAUUUUUGCAUUUUUAGUAGAGAUGGGGUUUCGCCAUGUUGGCUAGGCUGAUCUCAAACUCCUGACCUCAAGUGAUCCACCCACCUCGGCCUCCCAAAGUGCUGGGAUGACAGGCGUGAGCCACUGUGCCUGGCCAGAGAUGAGACUUCUAUGUGUGGUGCUAAAAGAGUGAAUAAAAACAUUAGAUACUACACU
rnacentral:lncRNA from 1 species